UCAUGUGACCACCGGCUUCCUGUGCGCCUCCCGGCCUCGGUGCCGGUGCCUCGGUACGUGCCGUGCCAGGCGCUGCCCGAACACUGCACCCCUGCCGCCGGGGCCCCAGCACCAUGCUGCGCCGCAAGCCCUCCAAUGCCGGGGAGAAGGAGCCAGGACACAAGAAGCUCUCCCUCCAGCGCUCCAGCAGCUUCAAGGACUUUGCCAAGGCCAAAGUCAGCUCCCCUGCACCGAGCGAGAAGGAGUUCAACUUGGAGGAGAAUAUCCCCGAGGAUGAGUCCAGCA